rnacentral:rRNA from 1 species
GACGAACGCUGGCGGCGUGCCUAAUACAUGCAAGUAGAACGCUGAAGGAGGAGCUUGCUUCUCCGGAUGAGUUGCGAACGGGUGAGUAACGCGUAGGUAACCUGCCUGGGAGCGGGGGAUAACUAUUGGAAACGAUAGCUAAUACCGCAUAAGAGUAGAUGUCGCAUGACAUUUGCUUAAAAGGUGCAACUGCACCACUACCAGAUGGACCUGCGUUGUAUUAGCUAGUUGGUGAGGUAACGGCUCACCAAGGCAACGAUACAUAGCCGACCUGAGAGGGUGAUCGGCCUCCCUGGGACUGUGACACGGCCCAGACUCCUGCGGGAGGCAGCAGUAGGGAAUCUUCGGCAAUGGACGGAAGUCUGACCGAGCUACGCCGCGUGAGUGAAGAGGGUUGUCGGAUCGUAAAGCUCUGUUGUAAGAGAAGAACGAGUGUGAGAGUGGAAAGUUCACACUGUGACGGUAUCUGACCAGAAAGCGACGGCUAACUACGUG